GCGUCAGUAGCUCAACGGGUUAGAGCACGCGCUCCCGCAUAGAGGUGGGACGCGGGUUCGAGUCCCGCCUGAUGCG